AACAAGUUGUUCAGGUACGAGGUUAUGUGGGAGUCUCAUGACUCUUUCUCGCCAUUGUUAUCUAAUCUUUGGCAGGAAAAGGGAAAGGCCACCACAUGUGGCGAGGUACAGCACAAGCUGAAAUCCAUCUCGACCAAGUUGCAGUCUUGGGAACGUGACACCUUUGGUAGUGUUAAAAGGCGAAUCAGCGAACUUACCACUGAGCUGGGAAGACUGAGAGCUGAUCCGAUCCGGGUUGGCCCUAGUCAUGCGGAGAUAAAGAUCAGCAACAUGCUCAUUGAAUUACAACAGAGAGAGGAGGUGAUGUGGCGCCAAAGGUCGAGGAUCCAAUGGCUGUCUGAAGGUGACAAGAAUACAAAAUUUUUUCAUCUCCGUGCUAGUCAGAGAAGGAAGAAAAAUCGUAUUACUCGGUUGAGGAGGGAAGAUGGAGCGUACACGGAGGAUGAGGUAGAAAUGUGUGCGCUCGCAACAGCCUUUUAUACUGACCUAUAUGGGUCCGAGGCGACUCACGACUUGGAGGAGGUUCUAAAUGUGGUACAGACCAGGGUGACACAUGACAUGAACGAGCUGUUGAUCGCCCCUUUUGAUGGAAAGGAGGUUAGGACGGCAUUAUUCCAGAUGUUCCCGACCAAGUCUCCUGGUCCGGACGGGUACCCGACACACUUUUUCCAGCGCCAUUGGGCGGUGUGUGGGGAGGAAGUUACCAUGGCAGUGCUGCGGUUACUGCGAGGUGAGGAAGAUAUGGCAUCUAUUAAUCAAACCUUUUUAGUGCUGAUUCCUAAAGUUGCCAGCCCGGAAGAUCUUAGCCAGUUCAGACCUAUAGCAUUGUGCAAUGUUUUAUACAAAAUUGCCUCAAAGGUUUUGGCGAAUCGUUUGAAGAUAAUCCUCCCGGAGAUUGUAGCAGAGGAGCAGUCGGCAUUUGUUCCUGGGCGCCUUAUUACAGAUAACAUUAUUACUACUUUUGAAUGUCUACAUUUUAUGAAGGGAAACAAAGCAAAGAAGAAUAAUUUCUGUGCUCUCAAGCUGGACAUGAGGAAAGCUUAUGACAGAAUUGAGUGGAGCUACCUACGUGCAAUCAUGUCCAAGCUUGGUUUUCACCAACAGUGGGUUAAUAUGGUAAUGAGGCUUGUUUCAACAGUCUCUUUUUCCAUUCUCUUCAAUGGUGUGAAGUCUGAAAAGUUUGCCCCCUCCCGAGGUUUAAGACAAGGUGAUCCAAUAUCUCCGCAUUUGUUUUUGUUAGCAGCAGAGGGCUUAUCAAGCCUCAUAAAAAAUCGUUGUGAAUCAUCAGCUCUUCAAGGUGUAAAAGUGGCAGAGUCGGCACCGGCGAUAAGCCACUUACUGUUUGCAGAUGAUUGCCUGCUGUUUUUCAAGGCAAAUCUGGAGAGUGCGAAUCACAUUCGGGAUGUUUUGGAAUUAUAUUGUAAUGCGUCAGGGCAGCGAGUAAAUCUGGACAAAUCGUCCAUUUUCUUCAGCAAGGGGUGCUCGGAGGCAUUGAGACAUGAUAUUAAAGAUUGGCUUGAUGUCCACCAGGAGACCCUGAAUGAGAAAUACCUAGGAAUGCCAAUUGAUGUGGGGCGAGAUAAAAAUGGUAAACUCCAGUUCUUGAAAGACAGAAUAUGGAAGCGGGUGCAGGGUUGGUUUGAGAAGACAUUGUCCGCAGCAGCUAAAGAUGUCCUCAUCAAAUCUAUAGCGCAGGCGAUACCCACUUACUCGAUGUCAUGUUUCAGGUUACCAAGAGGCUUAUGCCAGGAGAUCAAUUCCAUCCUACGUAAGUACUGGUGGGGAUGUAAAGCUGGUGAACGAAAAGCUUGCUGGGUGGCAUGGUCGGAUAUGACAAAGCCACGGUACAUGGGAGGACUAGGGUUUAGGGACAUAGAAUUGUUCAACCUAGCUCUUUUAGCUCGUCAAGCAUGGCGGGUUCUACAAUCACCAGAUAGUUUGAGUGCGAGGAUACUCAAAGCGAGAUACUUCCCAGCAACAGAGUUCUUGCAAGCAGAUUUGGGCUCGCGACCGUCGCAAGUAUGGCGAGCUAUCCUUGAUGGGAGAGAUACUCUGAAGCAAGGGAUAAUUAAGAGAAUUGGUACGGGCGAAGCUACCGAUCCAUGGAAUGAUAACUGGCUACCCCGAAAUGGGAGACUACGACCUAUUGCUUGCCUGGCGGCGCAUGCCCCUUCCAGGGUGAGUGAGUUCAUUGAUCGUACGUCAGCAACAUGGAACUGUGAGAAGCUUAAGGAGUGUUUCCUGCCGAUGGAUGUGGAGGCGAUUCUGAACCUCCCUUUGUCGACCAGGAACCAGCAGGACGAGUGGGCUUGGCACUACGACCGCAAAGGGGUUUUUACAGUUCGAUCAGCAUACAAGAUGCUUGUGCAUACCAAGACAACAAGGGAAGCUUGGCUGGAGGGGUUAGCUGCUUUGUCUGAUACAAAAAAGGUAGAAAAACAGUGGACUUCCCUUUGGCGAAUCCAAGUUCCAUCCAAAAUAAAAGUUUUUCUAUGGAGGCUAGCAAAGCACUCUCUUCCGACGAGUGAUGUUCUUAAACAUAGAAAUAUGGCAGUGGAAGAUAAAUGUGCAGUGUGUGGAGAAGAUGACUCGUGGAAGCAUUCGUUGAUCGAGUGUACAAUGGAUAAAUGCGUUUGGGCUUUGGCAUCAGUGGAGGUUGCGGAACAGGUCUCCAUGACGCAGCAAGGGAGUGCGAGGGACUGGAUUUUUGAGCUCAUUGAAAAAUUACCCUCUAGUGAAAUGACAGAGGCGUUUGUCUCCCUAUGGGCUAUCUGGCACGCAAGGCGGAAGGUAAUUCAUGAAAAUCUAUUCCAAAGUCCAUUAUCUACUCAUUGCUUCAUCAGGAGUUUCAUGGAAGAUCUAGGUAUGGUACAGAGCAAGAUGAAUAACAAGGUACAAGCAAGACAAGUGGAGACCAAUGUCCAGCAAUGGAUCCCCUCACCGGCCGGCUGGACGAAGGUAAACGUGGACGGAGCCUUGGGAAAACUUGAUGACAAGGCUGCCGUUGCAGCUGUAGCACGAAGCUGUGAAGGUGAAUUCUUGGGAGCUUCUUCUGUUGUCUUCACAGGAAUUUCAGAUGCAGAAACCGUUGAAGCUCUUGCGAUAAGGGAGGCUCUCUCAUUGGCGGACGACUUGCUUACUCGAAGAGUUAAGGUGGCUUCUGAUUGCCUUAGGGUGAUCAAUACUAUGAAUGAGGACUCCAAACCAGUAUAUUAUCACAUCACACAGGAAAUUAAGGCCAGAGGUGCGCAGUUGGAUGGCUUUGUUUUUUGUCACGAGAAACGCAGUUCAAACUUUGAGGCUCACAGGCUUGCUCGAUCAUCACUUAGGUAUAAUGUUGGCCGGUUUGUCUGGCUACUAGAUCCGCCUGAG
rnacentral:rRNA from 1 species